CUGCAUACUCUAACUGCCGAGCUAGAGUAUGUCAGAGGGGGGUAGAAUUCCACGUGUAGCAGUGAAAUGCGUAGAUAUGUGGAGGAAUACCGAUGGCGAAGGCAGCCCCCUGGGAUAAUACUGACGCUCAGACACGAAAGCGUGGGGAGCAAACAGGAUUAGAUACCCUGGUAGUCCACGCCCUAAACGAUGUCAACUAGCUGUUGGGGCCGUUAGGCCUUAGUAGCGCAGCUAACGCGUGAAGUCGACCGCCUGG
rnacentral:rRNA from 1 species